rnacentral:rRNA from 1 species
AACGAACGCUGGCGGCAUGCCUAACACAUGCAAGUCGAACGAGACCUUCGGGUCUAGUGGCGCACGGGUGCGUAACGCGUGGGAACCUGCCCUUAGGUUCGGAAUAACUCCCCGAAAGGGGUGCUGAUACCGGAUAAUGUCUUCGGACCAAAGAUUUAUCGCCUUUGGAUGGGCCCGCGUUGGAUUAGCUAGUUGGUAGGGUAAAAGCCUACCAAGGCGACGAUCCAUAGCUGGUCUGAGAGGAUGAUCAGCCACACUGGGACUGAGACACGGCCCAGACUCCUACGGGAGGCAGCAGUGGGGAAUAUUGGACAAUGGGCGAAAGCCUGAUCCAGCAAUGCCGCGUGAGUGAUGAAGGCCUUAGGGUUGUAAAGCUCUUUUACCCGGGAUGAUAAUGACAGUACCGGGAGAAUAGGCUCCGGCUAACUCCGUG